rnacentral:tRNA from 1 species
GCCUGUCUGGCUCCAUUGGUAGAGCAUGUGACUCUUAAUCUUAGAGUGGUGAGUUCAAGCCCCACGCUGGGCG